GUACUCCUACGGGGGGCAGCAGUGGGGGAUAUUGCACAAUGGGGGAAACCCUGAUGCAGCGACGCCGCGUGGGUGAAGAAGCGCCUCGGCGCGUAAAGCCCUGUCAGCAGGGAAGAAAAUGACGGUACCUGAAGAAGAAGCCCCGGCUAUCUACGUGCCAGCAGCCGCGGUAAUACGUAGGGGGCAAGCGUUAUCCGGAUUUACUGGGUGUAAAGGGGGCGCAGACGGCGAUGCAAGCCAGGAGUGAAAGCCCGGGGCCCAACCCCGGGACUGCUUUGGAAACUGCCUGACUGGAGUGCUGGAGG
rnacentral:rRNA from 1 species